rnacentral:rRNA from 1 species
ACAGCAGCAGCCGCGGUAAGACGGAGGGUGCUAGCGUUGUUCGGAAUCACUGGGCGUAAAGGGCGCGUAGGCGGCCUGUUAAGUCGGAUGUGAAAGCCCGGGGCUCAACCCCGGAACUGCAUCCGAGACUGGCAGGCUUGAGACCGGGAGAGGAGGGUGGAAUAUCCAGUGUAGAGGUGAAAUUCGUAGAUAUUGGAUGGAACACCGGUGGCGAAAGCGGCUCUCUGGCCCGGAUCUGACGCUGAGGCGCGAAAGCGUGGGGAGCAAACAGGAUUAGAUACCCCUGUAGUCCCUGUCUCUUAUAA